rnacentral:rRNA from 1 species
CCUACGGGGUGCAGCAGUGAGGAAUAUUGGUCAAUGGACGAGAGUCUGAACCAGCCAAGUAGCGUGAAGGAUGACUGCCCUAUGGGUUGUAAACUUCUUUUAUCUGGGAAUAACAUGUUCCACGUGUGGGAUUUUGUAUGUAACAUAUGAAUAAGGAUCGGCUAACUCCGUGCCAGCAGCCGCGGUAAUACGGAGGAUCCGAGCGUUAUCCGGGUUUAUUGGGUUUAAAGGGAGCGUAGGUGGAUUGUUAAGGCAGUUGGGAAAGUUUGGGGCUCAACCGUAAAAUUGCAGUUGAAACUGGCAGUAUUGAGUAGAGGAGAGGUAUGCGGAAGUCGGGGUGGAGCGGUGAAAUGCUUAGAUAUCACGAAGAACUCCGAUUGCGAAGGCAGCUCACUGGACUGCAACUGACACUGAGGCUCGAAAGUGUGGGUAUCAAACAGGAUUAGAUACCCUAGUAGUC